AGCUUUGCGCAGUGACAGUAUCACAGCCAAUGAGGUUUAUUCCAGGUGUAAUUAUUGCUAAUUAAAUUGUGUCCAUUAAUUUUUCUUAAGGCAUAAAUAUCAGCAUACUAUAAAACCACUGCUUAAAUCCAAUUAUGUAUGUGAGUUCUCUUA
rnacentral:snRNA from 1 species